rnacentral:lncRNA from 1 species
AAAGCCCACGCCUGCCUAAAGAGUCCCCGUGCUGUCAGAGCAGUGGUUUGGGCUCAGGGCAGCCCCCCCCCGCACCCCCAGUGGAUUCUGGGUGUGGAAAAACUGGACUCCAGCACUUGGAGCUUGCUCACUCUUGUAGACUGUCUGCUGCCUGCAGUUCCUGCCUUAGACAGACUCCCGGGGAUCCCACCUCCGCUGACUCAGAAAUAUGCCCGCGUUCAACAGGAUGCAAACCCGUAUAAAACUUGGCUGAUCUCUCCAGGAGCCCAACAGGUCAGUGCCAACCAAUGCUGGUUCUUAAGAGGGCGGCUCACUCUCUGGUGUCUCUGGCUUGGGAUGGCCACUCCGCCAGUCCUCCCCUUGCUCACUGAUUGCAGCUAAUAAAUGAACAAAGGCACCCUUUGACAACUCCUUGGUCCCCAACUCCCACUCUUGCAGUUUCCUUUGGCUUCCUUCCUUCUGUCCAUCAUCAGCUCCUUCCUUCCCUUCCCCUUCCCUUCCCCUGCCCCUCACCUCCCCCAAAUUCUGCAGGAUCCUGAGACUCAUUCCCCAGGGCCAGGAAAAUCAUCACCGGCCAUUCACAAAAGGAAGGAUUGGCCAUCCUGGCCCAUUAACCUGCCAUUUGCCUCAUAAAGGAACUCCACCCACCCAGCAGUCAAAUAGUUCACUGUUCCUUUUGGAAAUGAAUGGAAUACAAAGAAAUUAAUUGUCCCACCUUUAAAGUUUUCAC